rnacentral:ncRNA from 21 species
UUCAUAUCGAUUGGGUUAGGUGUCGCAAGACUUAAUAGGGAAUCCGGUCAAUGCCGGAGCGGUCCCGCCACUGUAACAGCGAGCGAAUCUGCAUAAUGUCACUGGGGAGUUUUCCUUGGGAAGGCGCAGAGUAGCGAUGACCUGGAGCCAGGAGAACUGCCUAGCUGACAAUCACCGUU